GAAUACAAGUUAACUCUUGUCUUAAGGUGUGGGUGGUUUUGGAAGGAUUCUCAGAGGAACACGACUAGGAUCUCAUAAGUACAAAUGAUUAUUUGUACAAAUUUUCCCAGCUGUGUAAAUUUCCUGUACAAUUAGUUGUUUUUGUUAUGUUAUAUAUUUUUAAGAGCUAAGUGUUUAUUAAGUUGGUUCUCCUUGAAGAUGGGAAUGAGUUUUGUGUUUAAAAAGUAGCAGGCAGGCUGAUGGACAGGUAUUGUGUUGGUGCACCACAUACUAUAGCUGUGAAUAAAACAGAUACAGACCCUGCCUCCAGAUGCAGAGGCUGCCUCCAGAAUAUCUAAAGCAUAAUUCUAGUCUUUUGUCCUUCCCUUACUUCAGGUACCUCUUUACGUAUGUAAUUCUCUCUCAUAGCCUCAGUUUUCCCAGGUAUGAAAGUAGGAGGCAGGAUGAGAUUAUCCCAAAGUGUCAGCAUCUGACCUCUUAUUAAUUAAAUAUUUCUUUUAUCGCCCACAGUCCUAAAUCACUAAGUUCUCAAGAAAAGUCAAUUGCUACUUGCCUUGUGGGAAUAAAAUAGAUUAAAAACCUUAUUCUGAUAUAGGUCCAUUCGAGGUUCCUGGAGAAUGGCACCACUUUCUCGGGGAAGAUAUUUUUGCCUAAUUGGAUAUAUUCAUUUGGAAGUAAGAGGACCUAGAAGAAAUGAGAAAUAAAGAAUAUCAGGUUCUAAAAAUAUUUAUUAUGUAAGUGCUGAGGCUCAUAUCUGGGAGAAUUAUAUCAGUCUUACGAGAUUCUAUUCCUGUAUAGGUGCCAUAACUAAAAGUUCUUUGUCCCACAGCUACGAACAAGGAUAUCACUCUCACAGGAUUUCUACCUAUUCUAUUUUUCUACGCAGCACAAAACUUGAUUAUUUCUUUCUCUGGAGACAAUGACUACUAAUAGUAAUAAAAGUAAUCCAUAAAGAUGAUUAAACCAUAGUUAUAAUUUGUAACCUAAAUACUGUAUAAAUUCUCAAACUAUUGCACAUGAAGUAUCUACUUGUUCCUCCCAAAAACAAUAUCACGUAGGUUAUGCAGAGGUCAUUAUUUUCAUUUUGUAUAUAGGGAGCUGAGAUUUAGAGAAGAUGAUGAACACAUUUGAAUUUUCACAGAAAAGAAGAUGCAGAGUCAUGAUUUUACUGAUGUUUUCACAACAUCAGGAUAUUGCAAAAUAUUCAAUAAUGAACAAAAUGAGUCAAAACCAAAGGUAAGCCACAGGGUAAGGGUAGAUAAUUGCAAUACACAUGCUAACAAAGGAUUUAUAUCCAAAAUAUAUAAAGAACUGCUACUAGUCAAUAAGUACAAGACAGACAACUCAACAGCAAAACUUGGGCAAAAAGCCUGAAUAGAAACUUCAUAAGAGUAUAUUUAAAUCACCGAUAAACUUAAGAAAAGUUGUUCAGCUCCAUUAGUCAUCAGGGAAGUGAAAGUUAAAAUCACAAUGCAAUGUCACUAUGCAUUAACCAGAAUGAUUCAAAUGAAAAAGGCAAACAUAUCUAAAGUUAGUGACCAUGUUGAGCAACAGAAACUCUUACACACUGCCUGCAGGAGCAUAUGUUGUUGCAAACACUUUGGGAAACUGUUUGGCAGUGUUGACUAAAGUUGGACAUUUUCAUAUCCUAUGACCCAGUUAUUCAGUCCUAGGUACCUAAAUGAACACUUGUCAACAUAUAUCAACAAAAGAAAAUCAUCUUUGAGAAUAUUUACAGCAACACUAUAAUGGUCUUAAAGUAGAAUAAUAUAAAUAUUUAUCCACAGAAGGACAGAUAGGCAAACUGUGAUGUGUUUAUAUAAUAAAAUAUUAUAUAGCAAUGAGAAUGAAAGACGCAACUGUAGUCAGCAACAUUAAUUUAUCUUAUAAACAUUGAGUUAGUGAGAGAAGCCCUAAGCAAAAGAGUGCCUAGAGUAUAAUCCUGUUAAUACAGAUUUUAGCAAGAGUUAAAAGUAAUCUUGGUGAUAGAAAUUAGAAUAAUAGUUACUUUUCGGGUGCAGAGAUCAGAUGAGGGUACAAGGGAUUCUGGGAAGCCGAUAAUGUUCAAUUUUAUGAUAUGGAUGCUGGUUAUACAGGUUUGUUCAAGUUUAUGAAAAUCCAUAAAACUGCACAUAUGUAAUUUGUAUACUUUUGUGUAUGUGUGUUAUUCCUCAAUACAAUUUUACUAAGUUUAACAAAUAAAGAACGGAGUCAUUAGGACACAAGGAAUAUCUCUGUAUGCCAAGAAGAGAGAUGACUUCAUGAGAAAUUACCAACAAGUUUUGGGGUGGCUUAAGAAAGUACAGCUGAGGAAAUGAAGAAUGAAAAAGGGGUAUAUCAGUAUGUGAAUAGACCACUGGGCACCUGCUCAGAUGAAAAAUAAAAAGGAACUGAUGUGGGUUUAGUAAAUUUCUGAAGGUCCAAUAGUUUGCAAGUGGUUCAGCUGGAAUUCCAAUCAAAAUCGUUUUAUUCCCUAGCUCCUGCUUCUUCAACUAUAUCAUCCCAGCAGGCAAUAUUUUACUUCAACCCUGAAAUAGUGAAGAAUAGGAAAAGCAGAAGGAGGAAAAAGAGUAGAUGUCAUCGAAAAAUGAUGUUAAAUAUUGGGUUAAAGUCAGCCUUUCACUAUAAGCUCUGUGAGGAUGCAGUCCGUAUUUAUCUUGCUAGCCUCUCUUGACCCAAGAAUAGUUCUUUAAUGGAAAGAAUGCAUAAAUGAGUUAAUGAAUGAUUGAAAAUAGAGGAGAAAGAAAACAGACUUGGGAAGAUUGCCACCCUCCAUCAAACUAACAAAGUCUUUUGUUUUCUUUGUUUUUUUUCAUAUUUUAAGUUAAUAAAUGAAUAGAAAAUUAUAUAUGUAAUUACAUAUUUAUGUAAUUAUGUAAUUUUGUUGUAUAUAUACAAUUUUAUAUACACAAGUAUAUACAAACACACACAUAAUAAUGUGUGUGUGUUUAUACACCCACCCUAUACAUACACACUUACUUGGCCUACAAAUUCAGGGAUCUCAAUAUCCCUAAUUACAGCUUACAUUGCAGGCUACACAGAAGCACUGCUGAUUUCAGCCCUGGCAGGACUCCUGUUUAAACAUACUUCCCAGAAAUCUUGGGCAGCUUGCCAUGGCAUUGUGUUAAGAAAAGGAUUGGUAGACAGAGAGAUGCACUGUUGAGAUUACCCUUCAGGAAGGACUUGCUACCGACUACAGGGGACAGGAAUCAGCAGACAUCCUCCAGCCAUCAGCUUCUUCAGGAUCUACCUCAGCGUCAAGGAACCACCUGACCUGAGGUCUCAUUCUUCCUUGGGCAGACUACAUCUUAUAACAAAGUGAGGUAAGGGCAUAAAAACCGCUCAGGUGGGGUCACUGAGGGAUACUCUGACAGGUAAUACUAACUCGAGAACUCCCCACCAAGCUGACUCUUGGUUUAGUGUGCAUUGCAUUAGUGAUCUUGAAAGGCAAUAGCAAGGAAGAAAGCUCCUGCCCAGAGCUUUGAGCAUUGCCCCUGGUUAUCCAUUUUAUGGAUAUCCAUUUUGUGAGAAAAGAUAAUUGGCCAAGGUUAGAAUAUAUAUGGACACAUGGACAGGUGUAAAUGGCCUGGCAGGCUGGUCAGUGAUGUGGAAAGAAAGGCAUUGGAAGACCAGAGGCAGGAGUUUUGGCUACAGGCAUAUGAAUGUGCAUUUGGAAGUAGGCACAAUGUAUCAUUGUACAACAGAUGAACAGCCACCUGAGAGUACCUACCAUCAGAAAGGCACUAAGCAGCCAAGGAGACAAAAUGAUUAGUUAGUUGAUAUCAACCAGCUUCUUUCAUCAGCAACCCCAGUGUUGGUGUGAUAGGCACAUGAGCGAUGUGGCCAAGGUGGCAGAGAUGGAGAUUACGCACAAGUCCUACGGCAUGGACUCCCACUGACCAAGGCUGACGAGCUACUGAAAUGGCAUGGCAAUGGAUGUUGGAUGAUCCAGCAGAAGAAAUAAAACAAUGAACUCUUGACAUAGCACCAAUCCUUGACAAGAUGAGUUGACCACAUCAGGCCUAUUCUGUUCUAGAUAAACCAGUGGUUCAUUCUCACAGGAACAGACACAAUAUUUUGGGUUAGUAUUAGCCUUUAUUACCUUUGAAAUUUAAGCAACGACCACGAUUUGAAUGCUUACAGCAUGAUAUGCUAGUGUGGGAUUCCUAACAUUGUAUCAACCCAGAAGACCCACUUUAUAGCAAAGGAGGGCUGGAGGUGUUCUUGUGUUGAGCAACAGUGCACUCUCCUAGGUGAUACCUCUCAGUCCCAUGGCAUAAUUUGUGACACUAUUUUACAACUGUUGGUUCAUAAAUACAUACUAGGCAUUCCUGAUCCAAGUGUCUUGUUUUCCCAGCUCUCUAGAGCAGGUUUUUGGACAAGAAGAUAGUCACCCCUAUUUUAACGCCCUGCUCCUGCCAGAGGACAAUUCUGUACUAUUCUGUGCAAUAGUGCUUAUCAAAUUAGCAUUAACAGCUUAGGAAUGAUUAGAAUAAUAAUAGUAAUCAUUAAAAUUUAGGAAACAUUUGGGGAUUUGAAGUUAGGACUCAAAAUUCAUUAGGUUUAUUGAUAUAAUUUAUCAGUCAUAAAACAAGAUCUUACAUGAGUUCUGUGCACACUUGUUUUUCCAUAAAUGUACUUGUGAUAAUGGACAAUAAUGAAAAAAUAUGCCCAGGGAUUCUGGAGACAUGGCUUAAAAUCAGAUGCAAUGACUUUGACUUUUCUUCAUGCCUCAUGUCUCAUUUUAAAAUUUUAUGUAAAUUUUGUCUUUUUAUUUUAUAAUAUAUCCAUUUAUGUCUUGUUAUAAAACAAUCUAUCUCCAAAUCUUAAUAAAAAUAAAUGUUCAAAGAAGAUGUGCCAUAUUGCCCCUUUGUCCUCAUUAUUUUCCUUCAUACCAUCACAUCUCCUUGGUGAAUCCUUGGACUCCUAGAAACUACUCGGAAAUGGAACAAAGAUAAAAGUAGCAAGAAUGCAGAGGACUGAUCACUGGAGAAUACUUGUUCAAACAGAGGAAACAGAAAGAGAAGCUAUAAAGAAGGCUGAGAAUGCAUAGUUAGAAGGAUAAGAAGAGAUUACAGACAGAGAAACUGAGAAAGGACAGAGUUUAAACUACAGUGUCAGAUAAAGCAGGAGUCAACUUGUGAACUUUGAAAAAAGCAGAAAUAGAAGCCAUAAUAAUGUGGGUUAAAGAAUGAGUGGAAAGAUAUGUAAGGUUGACUAAAAUUAAAAACUCUGCAGUGGUAAAAAGAUAAGAGUCAACAACAAAGGAGGGGCAACAAAUAGAUGAGAGUAAGGAAGGAGGAACUAAAAGAGCAUGUUCCCCCUGAAUCUAAAAUAAAAAUUGGAAUUACUAAAAAAAGAAGUGAAUACAGUCAAUGACUAAGCAAUAUCAUUAGAUAUUGAUUAUUAAGCCAGGGUCCAUUUUAUAAAUGAAAGAUAGAGAAUAUAAAUAUAAUAGGAAUGAAACUGUUCUUGUGUGUCAUCACAUUUUCCCCCUGUGAAGGAAAUUUCCAAAGACAGUAAAGUCCAUAUCAGUACCUUCCUUAACAAGAAAAGGGAGUAAACACGAAACAUCUUUUAGAGGCAACUUUGGGGAACUUGUAUAGGAAAGUUGAAAGAGUCUAGGGUUUGGGGAUUAGAAAGAUUAAGAUUUGAUUCUCAAACAGCAAUAAUUAGAGUAAAUAUUCAUUCUCUUUGGACCUUAGUGUUUCAUUCCAUUACAAAGGGCUAAUGAUUCCUGCUUUAAGGGUUGAAAUGGGGGGUUGAAUAGGAUUUCCUGGCACUCUAAAUGCUGAGUCCCCAUCUUUAGUUCAAAAGCCUCAGAUUGGCCAAUGAAAGCUGCUGUUUGUCCUGUGCUACGUUAAUGACCCUGACCCAAUCCCUAUUUCCAUAUAUACUACAUGGAUCUAUUAACAUAUCUUCCCUCUGACUGUCCAGUUUAAAUUCAACAGAUGAAACCAUGACUGUUCUGUGUUACAUUUUAGAUGUGAGGAUGUACACAGCUACCCUGAUUGAGUUUGGAUGAUUUCCAAGUUUCCUUAGGAAGACAUUUACGUGUCAUGAUUUAGGAAGGACUACUUCUGUAAAGGUCUGUUUAUUAUUCAUAGAUCGAUUUUAGUCUCUGCCAAGUACCUUUCCUCACCUUGUUCCAAAUUUUGAGGGACUCAUAAUUUAUUCAACAAAUUCUUAUAGAACAUCUCUGAUGUGCCAAGAACUAUGUGAACUGUUGGGAAUUCACAUGUUAAUAAGAUCUGGUUUCUGGAGAUGAGGUGUCAGGCAUACAAACAUUCUGUGCAAAUAAAAAUAUGGUCAGUGCUAAAAUAGUAUUAUAAAUAACAUUUUUGUGUCAUUCUCUGAAUCACAGUAUCUCCUUCAGAUACUGUUAGGGGGAAACCCAAUUUCCUUUUUUUAAUCCCAUUGUAUACAUUUAUGGGGUACAAUGUGAUGUUUUGAUAUAUCUAUAUAAUGUGGCAUGGUUAAAUUGAACUAACUAACAUAUCUAUCACCUUGCUUGCCUGUCAUUUAUUAGUAUGAAACAUUAGAAAUAUACUCUCAUAGUUAUUUUGAAAUAUAUAAUACGUUAUUAUUGACUGUUACCCUGGUGUGCCAUAAAUCUCAAAACCUAUUCCUUCUAUCUGCAACUUUGUAUCCUUUGAUCAACAACUCCCUAUUGGUGCCACCCCUGCAUACCCUCUGAUAACAAUCUUUCUACUUCUAUAAGUUCAACUGUACUAGAAUUCCCAUGUUAAGUGAGUUCAUGUGGUAUUUGUCUUUCUUUCUGUGCUGGACUUACCUCACUCAGCAUAAUGAGAUUUCUCAAAAGAAAACAAAAAUGGACAAUAGGUACAUGAAAAAAUGCUUAGCAUCACAAAUCAUGAGAAAAAUGCAAAUGAAAACCACAAUGAGAUGUCACCUCACACCUUUAAGAAUGCCUUUUUUCAAAAAGAUAAAAGAUAACAAGUGUUGGAGAGAAUGUGGGGAAAACAAAACUCAUAACUCAUACAUUGUUGGUGGAAAUGUAAAUUAGUAUAACCAUUAUAGAAAGCAACAUGGAGAUUCCUCAAGAAAGUGAAAAUGGAACUACCAUAGGACCAGUAAUCUCACUUCUGGGUAUGUAGCCAAAGGAACUGAAAUUAGUAUGUCGAAGGGAUAUUUGUACCUCCAAGUUCAUUGCAGCGUUAUUCACAAUAGCCAACUGUGAAAACCACCUAGGUGUCCAGCAACGGAUGAGUGGAUACAAACAAUGAAAUACUCUUCAGCCUUUAAAAUGAGGGGAAUCCUGUCAUUUAUGAUAACAUGGAUAAAUCUGAAGGAAGCACAGUUUCUAAUUAACAUAUUUCCAGGAGGAAACUUCCACUAUCAGGAGAGAAAUUAAUUAGGACAGAAACAGUUCUGACUUUCUGUGCCACCCUCCUCACAAAAGAAGCACCUGAUCUGAAUGUGGAAUUUGGAAAAUCAGAUCUACAAGUACACAGCUUUGGUUUUCUUUUCUCUUCUUCCUCCUCAUUGGCAGGUCUACAACUGUCCAGCUACUUAAUACAGGAAGAUAAGUUUAAUGUGAUGGAGGUGGUGGUGGUAGAAGCAGCAGUUGAAAGGCUUACCUUGACAAAGGGUAAAGCACUUCCUCUAAUUCACCAUCAACAAUAAUAAAAGUAUGUUUUCUAUACAUUCCUCAGAUUCCCUUGUGGAUUAUUUUUUUCUGCAGUUAUUAGAUUCAUAGUUGUAUUAGUCCGUUUUCAUGUCUGAGACUGGGCAGUUUACAAAAGAAAGAGGUUUAUUGGACUUACAGUUCCACAUGGCUGGAGAGGCCUCAUAAUCAUGGAGGAAGGUGAAAGGCAAGGAGGAGCAAGUGACAUCUUACAUGGAUAGUGGCAAGCAAAGAGAGAGAGCUUGUGCAAGGAAACUCCUCUUUUUUAAAACCAUCAGAUCUCGUGAUAUUUAUUCACUAUCAUGAGAACAGCAUGGGAAAGACCUGCCUCCGUGAUUCAAACAUCUCCCACCAGGUCCCUGUGGGAAUAACAUGUGGGAAUUAUGGGAGCUACAAGAUGAGAUUUGGCGGGGGGACACAGAGUCAAACCAUAUCAACAGUUCUCUGUGUGGAGUAAUUCAUAUUUAUUAUUCAUAAUAUUUAAAUAUCACAAAUUCUUACUGAAUUUAUGUCUGCUUACCUUAAUCAGAACUUUACAGACAUAUGCAUUAACUUCUGCCAAGUGACUGAAUUUGUCUAUUUCUCUUAGUUCUGUUAGUACUUGCUUUAUAAAGUAUUUUGAAGCUAUGUUAUUAGGUGGAUACAAAUUUUGCAAUGGUACAUUUUCCUUAAAGGUUGAUGCUUUUAUAAUCAAAAACCAUACCUUUUAAUAUUUAGUAAUUUUUUUUGCUUUAAAAAUUACCGUGGAACUUUGGUUUCUGGUUCUGCAUGUAAAGAGCUUGAAAGUCACCACUCCAUCCUAAUAAUAAGGGAAAAGCUGAGCAACUGAAAAAUCAACAUGGAUCAAUUCUUCUUAGAUCUAUAAGAGAAGUAGGUCACAGGGCAAACUGCUGCCUCUAAAGCUGGAGAGACAGGCAGAUGAAUACAGAGAAUCACAACUCACUGGAGCAGAAACUCAGGAGCAGAAAUCCCCAUGGGAACCAGUGCUGGAGUUGGGAAUCCAGAACCGUAGUUGACAAAUUGCUGGUGGUUCAAAGUAGACAAGUGUGAGACUUAAAAACUCCUGAGGGACCUAGUCAUAGGGGGGCCCCACACUUUUGUGAGUUUUGUCUCAGGAAUUCAACCAGGCUCUCAUAGUAAAUAUGAGAGAAAAGUCCUCUCUUAUUCUGGCAGGGGGAGGGGAAAAGGAACGAUUUUGAAAUAUAUCAGUGCACUCUGUUCUCAACAAAAUCUGUCCUCAGAGAAAUUAGCUAACUAGAGCCUGCCAGAGUUUUAUCUCAGCCACACUGACCAGCAGGAAGGGAAAUACCCAACUUCAGCCAGCUCCAGCUUUCCAUGUAGAAACACCUGAAGUAAAAAAAAGAAAGAAAAUAAAGAAAAAGAAAACAAACCUGAGAGGCAUUUAUGAAGUUCAUGAGCCAGAGGUGUGGGGUUCACUAAAAGACUGAGACUUGGUUCUAAGACUAUAAACACUGCCCAUCCCCCUACAUUUUACCACCACUAAAGGCCUUAUUGUAACAGUUCCUUUUACCAGUAUCUCAUGUCUGGCUAUCAAUAAAAAAAUUACAAGAUACACUAAAAAGCAAAAAACACAAUUUGAAAAGACAGAAGAAAUAUCAGAACGAGGCCUGGUAGGGAUGUUGGAAUUAUCAGACCAGGGAUUUAAAACAACUAUGCUUAAUAUGAUAAGGGCUUUAAUGGAUAAAGUAGACAGCAUUGCAAGAACAGAUGCACAAUGUAAGCAGAGAGAUGAAAAUCCUAAGAAAGAACUAAGAAAGAAAUGCUAGAGAUAAAAAACAGUGUAACAGAAAUAAAGAAUGCCUUUGAUGCUCUCACUAGUAGACUAGACAUGGCUGAAGAAAUAAUCACUGUGCUUGAGAAUAUAUCAACAGGAACCUCCCAAACUGAAAAACAAAGAAAAUAAAACUAAACUAAAAAAGGGAACAGAAUAUUCAAGAACUGUGGGAUAACUACAAGAAGUGUAAAUACAUGAAAUGGCAGUACCAGAAGGAGAACAAAGAGAGAAAGGAAGAGAAUAAAUAUUUGAAACAAAAAUGACUGAGAAUUUCUUAAUUAAUGUCAGACAUUGAUAUAGGAUAAUGCUUUGUAAUACUAAAUAUCUCAAAAUGGAGUACUUAUGACAAGUGAUUCAGCUUAUAGUGACAUUACUGAACCCUCAGAAUGAUGAAUGUAUGUAUGGUGGAUUGAGGUAAUCAGAUGUCACCUGCUGUGGCCAGACCUUUUUGAGACCUGACAGGAAAGUGAAGCCAAAAUACAGCUAAAGAUAAUGGCCAUGGACACUCCUGUGGAGGGGCAUAAAAACUGCAAAGAGACUGACCAUGGCAAGGUGCUUACAGAAUCUCUGCCCAUGAGAACACUGAGGCCUCCUUUCCUUCUGCUGUUGUUGCUAGAGCUCUCCUCUGAGAAAAGAGCAGCAACACCCCCAUGUCCCCAUGGAUUGCUCCCAACCCCCAGUGUAUUGGUGCUGUCCUGUCAGCAUGUUGGUCUCCCUAGCUGAGCUACUCUCUGUGGUUCCUUCCCUAGUACCCUCCUCCCAUUGUGUAUAUUGAAUAUAUUUGCAUAAUUUGCAUAAUGUGUGAAAGGCUUGAAAUAAACUGUGAAUUCGUAAGCA